UACGUAGGGGGCAAGCGUUGUCCGGAUUUAUUGGGCGUAAAGAGCGUGUAGGCGGCCAUACAGGUCCGUUGUGAAAACUGGAGGCUCAACCUUCAGACGUCGACGGAAACCGUGUGGCUAGAGUCCGGAAGAGGAGAGUGGAAUUCCUGGUGUAGCGGUGAAAUGCGCAGAUAUCAGGAAGAACACCAAUGGCGAAGGCAGCUCUCUGGGACGGUACUGACGCUGAGACGCGAAAGCGUGGGGAGCGAACAGG
rnacentral:rRNA from 1 species